UACGUAGGGUGCGAGCGUUAUUCGGAAUUAUUGGGCGUAAAGGGCGCGUAGGCGGCCAUGCGUGUCUUCCGUGAAAUCCCUCGGCUUAACUGAGGACGUGCGGAAGAAACUGCAAGGCUUGAGUCCGGGAGAGGGGGGUGGAAUUCCCAGUGUAGCGGUGAAAUGCGUAGAUAUUGGGAGGAACACCGGUGGCGAAGGCGGCCCCCUGGACCGGUACUGACGCUGAUGCGCGAAAGCGUGGGGAGCGAUCCGG
rnacentral:rRNA from 1 species